rnacentral:rRNA from 1 species
AAAGAAAGUAAGCAAGGGCGCAUGGCGGAUGCCUUGGCUCUCGGAGGCGAUGAAGGACGUGAUAAGCUGCGAUAAGCUUCGGGCAGGUGCAAAUAACCUUUGAUCCGAAGAUUUCCGAAUGGGACAACCCGUCAUUCUGAAGGAAUGACAUCUUGCAUAGCAAGAGGCUAACACAGGGAACUGAAACAUCUUAGUACCUGUAGGAAAAGAAAAUAAUAAUGAUUCCCCUAGUAGUGGCGAGCGAACGGGGAUUAGCCCAAACCAAUGUUGUUACGGCAAUAUUGGGGUUGUAGGACCACGAUGUCGCAAGAAUUUUAGUGAGAAGAAUUCUUUGGAAAAUGAAACCAUAGACGGUGAUAGUCCGGUAUUCGAAGCUAAAUGAAGCGUAGUGGUAUCCUGAGUAGCGCGGGACACGAGGAAUCUUGCGUGAAUCUGCCGGGACCAUCCGGUAAGGCUAAAUACUCCCGAGAGACCGAUAGCGAACCAGUACUGUGAAGGAAAGGUGAAAAGCACUUCGAAUAGAAGAGUGAAAUAGUCCCUGAAACCGUGCGCCUACAAGCGGUCGGAGCUGCUUCAGCAGUGACGGCGUGCCUUUUGCAUAAUGAACCUACGAGUUACUUUUUCCGGCAAGGUUAAGGAUCUUGAGAUCCGCAGCCGAAGCGAAAGCGAGUCUUAACA